rnacentral:rRNA from 1 species
CCUACGGGAGGCUGCAGUGAGGAAUAUUGGUCAAUGGGCGCGAGCCUGAACCAGCCAAGUCGCGUGAGGGAGGACGGCCCUACGGGUUGUAAACCUCUUUUGCCGGGGAGCAACGGGCGUCACGUGUGGCGCCACUGAGAGUACCCGGAGAAAAAGCAUCGGCUAACUCCGUGCCAGCAGCCGCGGUAAUACGGAGGAUGCGAGCGUUAUCCGGAUUUAUUGGGUUUAAAGGGUGCGUAGGCGGAUCGUUAAGUCAGUGGUCAAAUUGAGGGGCUCAACCCCUUCCCGCCAUUGAAACUGGCGAUCUUGAGUGGAAGAGAAGUAUGCGGAAUGCGUGGUGUAGCGGUGAAAUGCAUAGAUAUCACGCAGAACCCCGAUUGCGAAGGCAGCAUGCCGGCUUCCGACUGACGCUGAAGCACGAAAGCGUGGGGAUCGAACAGGAUUAGAUACCCCUGUAGUC